GACGUAGGGUGCAAGCGUUGUCCGGAUUUACUGGGCGUAAAGGGCGCGUAGGCGGCUCGUUAAGUGUGAAGUGAAAUUUUCAGGGCUCAACCCGAAAACUGCUUCGCAUACUGGCGGGCUUGAGGAACGCAGAGGUGACUAGAAUUCCCGGUGUAGCGGUGAAAUGCGUUGAUAUCGGGAGGAAUUCCCAUGGCGAAGGCAGGUCACUGGGCGUUAUCUGACGCUGAGGCGCGAAAGCGUGGGUAGCAAACAGG
rnacentral:rRNA from 2 species